GGAUCGAUGAUGAGUUUCUCAUAUAAACAUUCCUUGGAAAGCUGAACAAAAUGAGUGAAAACUCACAACCGUCGUUUUCAUCGGUACUGAGGUCC
ensembl:snoRNA SNORD116 Small nucleolar RNA SNORD116